rnacentral:rRNA from 1 species
GAUCAUGGCUCAGGAUGAACGCUAGCUACAGGCUUAACACAUGCAAGUCGAGGGGCAUCAGUUUGGUUUGCUUGCAAACCAAAGCUGGCGACCGGCGCACGGGUGAGUAACGCGUAUGCAACUUGCCUAUCAGAGGAGAAUAGCUCAUCGAAAGAUGAAUUAAUGCUCCAUGAAACAGGGGUCCCGCAUGGGAAUAUUUGUUAAAGAUUCAUCGCUG